GAUGAACGCUGGCUACAGGCUUAACACAUGCAAGUCGAGGGGAAACGACGGGGAAGCUUGCUUCCCCGGGCGUCGACCGGCGCACGGGUGAGUAACGCGUAUCCAACCUGCCUCUGACUGAGGGAUAACCCGUCGAAAGUCGGCCUAAUACCUCAUGGCCUCUUCUGCUGGCAUCCAACUACGAUUAAAGAUUUCAUCGGUCAGGGAUGGUGAUGCGUCUGAUUAGCUUUUUGGCGGGGUAACGGCCCACCAAGGCUACGAUCAGUAGGGGUUCUGAGAGGAAGGUCCCCCACAUUGGAACUGAGACACGGUCCAAACUCCUACGGGAGGCAGCAGUGAGGAAUAUUGGUCAAUGGGCGGGAGCCUGAACCAGCCAAGUAGCGUGCAGGAUGACGGCCCUAUGGGUUGUAAACUGCUUUUAGGCGGGGAUAAAGUGAGGGACGUGUCCUUCAUUGCAGGUACCGAAUGAAUAAGGACCGGCUAAUUCCGUG
rnacentral:rRNA from 1 species